CUUAGAUCCUGAGUGUCAAGAAAACAUUUGUCUGGUGAAAACAAGUGUGGCCGCUACUGUUUCCAUUUAUAGUGGGGACUCAAUGGAAUCAAAAGGCAGCCAUGGGUGUUUGUUCUCCAGCUACAAGCCCGUGAAGAAUCUAUUCCCCAUUAUCCAAGAUGCUACCGAGGGAAGACACUACAGAGAUUAUUAGAUUUCAAGAGUAGUCCAACAUUGUUCAGAGCUAAUAAAACAACAGGACAACUGCAACAGCAACAAUAUUUGGGCUUCAUGGGAAAAUGGUUUUUUAGUCUGUGCCCUAAGCAACACCAU
rnacentral:lncRNA from 1 species